UACGGAGGGUGCAAACGUUGCUCGGAAUCAUUGGGCGUAAAGCGCACGUAGGCGGCCUGAUAAGUCAGGUGUGAAAGCCCUGGGCUCAACCCAGGAAGUGCACUCGAAACUGUCAGGCUUGAACAUGGAAGAGGGUCGCGGAAUUCCCGGUGUAGAGGUGAAAUUCGUAGAUAUCGGGAGGAACACCAGUGGCGAAGGCGACUUACUGGACACAUAUUGACGCUGAGGUGCGAAAGCGUGGGGAGCAAACAGG
rnacentral:rRNA from 1 species